rnacentral:rRNA from 1 species
UACGGAGGGUGCGAGCGUUGUUCGGAAUCAUUGGGCGUAAAGCGCGUGUAGGCGGCUUGGCAAGUCGGGUGUGAAAUCCCGGGGCCCAACCCCGGAACUGCAUUCGAAACUGCCUCGCUAGAGUCCCGGAGAGGAAGGCGGAAUUCCCGGUGUAGAGGUGAAAUUCGUAGAUAUCGGGAGGAACACCAGCGGCGAAGGCGGCCUUCUGGACGGUGACUGACGAUGAGACGCGGAAGCGUGGGGAGCAAACAGG